ACGCUUGAGGUGUUUAGAAAGCCUCAAGGAAAGCCUGCAAAGGCGCUGAAGGAGGGAGCUGCGGGCCAUCAGGUAGUUGGUGGGGUAACGGCCUACCAAGCCAACGACGGAUAGGGGGCCUGAGAGGGUGACCCCCCACACUGGAACUGAGAGACGGUCCAGACUCCUACGGGAGGCAGCAGUAAGGGAUAUUGCGACAAUGGGCGAAAGCCUGACGCAGCAACGCCGCGUGAGGGAUGACGGCCUUCGGGUUGUAAACCUCUUUUCAGGGUGAAGAGGAAGGACGGUAGCCCUGGAAGAAGUCUCGGCUAACUACGUGCCAGCAGCCGCGGUAAAACGUAUGAGGCGAGCGUUAUCCGGAUUUACUGGGUGUAAAGCGCGUGCAGGCGGUGGUCUAAGUGGUGUGUGAAAGCGCCCGGCUUAACCGGGCGAGGCCCGCAUUU
rnacentral:rRNA from 1 species